rnacentral:rRNA from 1 species
GUGCCAGCAGCCGCGGUAAUACGUAGGUGGCAAGCGUUGUCCGGAUUUAUUGGGCGUAAAGCGAGCGCAGGCGGUUUCUUAAGUCUGAUGUGAAAGCCUUCGGCUCAACCGAAGAAGUGCAUCGGAAACUGGGAAACUUGAGUGCGGAAGAGGACAGUGGAACUCCAUGUGUAGCGGUGAAAUGCGUAGAUAUAUGGAAGAACACCAGUGGCGAAGGCGGCUGUCUGGUCUGUAACUGACGCUGAGGCUCGAAAGCAUGGGUAGCAAACAGGAUUAGAUACCCUGGUAGUCCAUGCCGUAAACGAUGAGUGCUAGGUGUUGGAGGGUUUCCGCCCUUCAGUGCCGCAGCUAACGCAUUAAGCACUCCGCCUGGGGAGUACGACCGCAAGGUUGAAACUCAAAGGAAUUGACGGGGGCCCGCACAAGCGGUGGAGCAUGUGGUUUAAUUCGAAGCAACGCGAAGAACCUUACCAGGUCUUGACAUCCUUUGACCACUCUAGAGAUAGAGCUUUCCCUUCGGGGACAAAGUGACAGGUGGUGCAUGGUUGUCGUCAGCUCGUGUCGUGAGAUGUUGGGUUAAGUCCCGCAACGAGCGCAACCCUUAUUACUAGUUGCCAGCAUUAAGUUGGGCACUCUAGUGAGACUGCCGGUGACAAACCGGAGGAAGGUGGGGACGACGUCAAAUCAUCAUGCCCCUUAUGACCUGGGCUACACACGUGCUACAAUGGAUGGUACAACGAGUUGCGAGACCGCGAGGUUUAGCUAAUCUCUUAAAACCAUUCUCAGUUCGGAUUGUAGGCUGCAACUCGCCUACAUGAAGCCGGAAUCGCUAGUAAUCGCGGAUCAGCAUGCCGCGGUGAAUACGUUCCCGGGCCUUGUACACACCGCCCGU